AAAUUGAAGAGUUUGAUCAUGGCUCAGAUUGAACGCUGGCGGCAGGCCUAACACAUGCAAGUCGAGCGGUAGCACAGAGAGCUUGCUCUCGGGUGACGAGCGGCGGACGGGUGAGUAAUGUCUGGGAAACUGCCUGAUGGAGGGGGAUAACUACUGGAAACGGUAGCUAAUACCGCAUAACGUCGCAAGACCAAAGUGGGGGACCUUCGGGCCUCAUGCCAUCAGAUGUGCCCAGAUGGGAUUAGCUGGUAGGUGGGGUAACGGCUCACCUAGGCGACGAUCCCUAGCUGGUCUGAGAGGAUGACCAGCCACACUGGAACUGAGACACGGUCCAGACUCCUACGGGAGGCAGCAGUGGGGAAUAUUGCACAAUGGGCGCAAGCCUGAUGCAGCCAUGCCGCGUGUGUGAAGAAGGCCUUCGGGUUGUAAAGCACUUUCAGCGGGGAGGAAGGCGGUGAGGUUAAUAACCUCAUCGAUUGACGUUACCCGCAGAAGAAGCACCGGCUAACUCCGUGCCAGCAGCCGCGGUAAUACGGAGGGUGCAAGCGUUAAUCGGAAUUACUGGGCGUAAAGCGCACGCAGGCGGUCUGUCAAGUCGGAUGUGAAAUCCCCGGGCUCAACCUGGGAACUGCAUUCGAAACUGGCAGGCUAGAGUCUUGUAGAGGGGGGUAGAAUUCCAGGUGUAGCGGUGAAAUGCGUAGAGAUCUGGAGGAAUACCGGUGGCGAAGGCGGCCCCCUGGACAAAGACUGACGCUCAGGUGCGAAAGCGUGGGGAGCAAACAGGAUUAGAUACCCUGGUAGUCCACGCUGUAAACGAUGUCGAUUUGGAGGUUGUGCCCUUGAGGCGUGGCUUCCGGAGCUAACGCGUUAAAUCGACCGCCUGGGGAGUACGGCCGCAAGGUUAAAACUCAAAUGAAUUGACGGGGGCCCGCACAAGCGGUGGAGCAUGUGGUUUAAUUCGAUGCAACGCGAAGAACCUUACCUGGUCUUGACAUCCACAGAACUUAGCAGAGAUGCUUUGGUGCCUUCGGGAACUGUGAGACAGGUGCUGCAUGGCUGUCGUCAGCUCGUGUUGUGAAAUGUUGGGUUAAGUCCCGCAACGAGCGCAACCCUUAUCCUUUGUUGCCAGCGGUUAGGCCGGGAACUCAAAGGAGACUGCCAGUGAUAAACUGGAGGAAGGUGGGGAUGACGUCAAGUCAUCAUGGCCCUUACGACCAGGGCUACACACGUGCUACAAUGGCAUAUACAAAGAGAAGCGACCUCGCGAGAGCAAGCGGACCUCAUAAAGUAUGUCGUAGUCCGGAUUGGAGUCUGCAACUCGACUCCAUGAAGUCGGAAUCGCUAGUAAUCGUAGAUCAGAAUGCUACGGUGAAUACGUUCCCGGGCCUUGUACACACCGCCCGUCACACCAUGGGAGUGGGUUGCAAAAGAAGUAGGUAGCUUAACCUUCGGGAGGGCGCUUACCACUUUGUGAUUCAUGACUGGGGUGAAGUCGUAACAAGGUAACCGUAGGGGAACCUGCGGUUGGAUCACCUCCUUACCUUAAAGAA
rnacentral:rRNA from 1 species